AACGUACGCUGGCGGCACGCCUAACACAUGCAAGUCGAACGAAGUAGCAAUACUUAGUGGCAGACGGGUGAGUAACAUGUAGGUAUCUGCCCUUUGGCCUGGAAUAACACGAGGAAACUUGUGCUAAUACCGGAUAAGUCUUUACGGAGAAAGCUUUAUGCACUAUUGGAUGAGCCUGCACUUGAUUAGUUUGUUGGUGGGGUAAUGGCCUACCAAGACUGUGAUCAAUAGCUGAUUUGAGAGGAUGAUCAGCCACAUUGGGACUGAGACACGGCCCAAACUCCUACGGGAGGCAGCAGUGGGGAAUCUUGCACAAUGGAGGAAACUCUGAUGCAGCGAUGCCGCGUGAGUGAAGAAGGCCCUUGGGUUGUAAAGCUCUUUCGUCGGGGAAGAAAAUGACUGUACCCGAAUAAGAAGGUCCGGCUAACUUCGUGCCAGCAGCCGCGGUAAUACGAAGGGACCUAGCGUAGUUCGGAAUUACUGGGCUUAAAGAGUUCGUAGGUGGUUGAAAAAGUUAGUGGUGAAAUCCCAGAGCUUAACUCUGGAACUGCCAUUAAAACUUUUCAGCUAGAGUAUGAUAGAGGAAAGCAGAAUUUCUAAUGUAGAGGUGAAAUUCGUAGAUAUUAGAAAGAAUACCAAUUGCGAAGGCAGCUUUCUGGAUCAUUACUGACACUGAGGAACGAAAGCAUGGGUAGCGAAGAGGAUUAGAUACCCUCGUAGUCCAUGCCGUAAACGAUGUGUGUUAGACGUUGGAAAUUUAUUUUCAGUGUCGCAGGGAAACCGAUAAACACACCGCCUGGGGAGUACGACCGCAAGGUUAAAACUCAAAUGAAUUGACGGGGACCCGCACAAGUAGUGGAGCAUGUGGUUUAAUUCGAAGAUACGCGCAGAACCUUACCAACACUUGACAUGUUCGUCGCGACUCUAAGAGAUUAGAGUUUUCGGUUCGGCCGGACGAAACACAGGUGCUGCAUGGCUGUCGUCAGCUCGUGUCGUGAGAUGUUGGGUUAAGUCCCGCAACGAGCGCAACCCUCACUUUUAGUUGCCAUCAUUAAGUUGGGCACUCUGAAAGAACUGCCAGUGAUAAGCUGGAGGAAGGUGGGGAUGACGUCAAGUCCUCAUGGCCCUUACGUGUUGGGCUACACACGUGCUACAAUGGUAUCUACAACAGGAAGCAAGACUGCGAAGUUAAGCAAAUCCCUAAAAGAUACCUCAGUUCGGAUUGCACUCUGCAACUCGAGUGCAUGAAGCUGGAAUUACUAGUAAUCGUGGAUCAGCGUGCCACGGUGAAUGCGUUCCCGGGUCU
rnacentral:rRNA from 1 species